rnacentral:rRNA from 1 species
CCAAUAGCGUAUAUUAAAGUUGUUGCAGUUAAAAAGCUCGUAGUUGAAUUUCGGGGUCAGUAGGCUGGUCGUGCCACGGGUAUGUACUGGUCUUACUGAUUCCUCCUUCCUGAUGAACCGUAAUGCCAUUAAUUUGGUGUUGCGGGGAAUCUGGACUGUUACUUUGAAAAAAUUAGAGUGUUUAAAGCAGGCUAACGCUUGAAUACAUUAGCAUGGAAUAAUGAAAUAGGACGAUCGAUCCUAUUUUGUUGGUUUCUAGGAUUGACGUAAUGAUUAAUAGGGUUAGUUGGGGGCAUUAGUAUUCAAUUGUCAGAGGUGAAAUUCUUGGAUUUAUUGAAGACUAACUACUGCGAAAGCAUUUGCCAAGGAUGUUUUCAUUAAUCAAGAACGAAAGUUAGGGGAUCGAAGACGAUCAGAUACCGUCGUAGUCUUAACCAUAAACUAUGCCGACUAGGGAUCGGAUGAUGUUAAUUUUUUAAUGACUCAUUCGGCGCCUUACG